GUGCCAGCAGCCGCGGUAAUACGGAGGGUGCGAGCGUUAAUCGGAAUUACUGGGCGUAAAGCGCGCGUAGGCGGCUUGAUAAGCCGGUUGUGAAAGCCCCGGGCUCAACCUGGGAACGGCAUCCGGAACUGUCAGGCUAGAGUGCAGGAGAGGAAGGUAGAAUUCCCGGUGUAGCGGUGAAAUGCGUAGAGAUCGGGAGGAAUACCAGUGGCGAAGGCGGCCUUCUGGACUGACACUGACGCUGAGGUGCGAAAGCGUGGGUAGCAAACAGGAUUAGAUACCCUAGUAGUCC
rnacentral:rRNA from 1 species